GAUAUUCUUAUUGCAGCUGGUGACCACUGCACAAGAUUUAAUGUAGACUUUUGUGCGUGUGACAGCGGCUAUUGUGAGAAAUCUAGUCAUCAAA
rnacentral:pre_miRNA from 1 species